rnacentral:rRNA from 1 species
GAUGAACGCUGGCGGCGUGCCUAAUACAUGCAAGUCGAGCGAACAGACGAGGAGCUUGCUCCUCUGACGUUAGCGGCGGACGGGUGAGUAACACGUGGAUAACCUACCUAUAAGACUGGGAUAACUUCGGGAAACCGGAGCUAAUACCGGAUAAUAUAUUGAACCGCAUGGUUCAAUAGUGAAAGACGGUUUUGGUGUCACUUAUAGAUGGAUCCGCGCCGCAUUAGCUAGUUGGUAAGGUAACGGCUUACCAAGGCGACGAUGCGUAGCCGACCUGAGAGGGUGAUCGGCCACACUGGAACUUAGACACGGUCCAGACUCCUACGGGAGGCAGCAGUAGGGAAUCUUCCGCAAUGGGCGAAAGCCUGACGGAGCAACGCCGCGUGAGUGAUGAAGGUCUUCGGAUCGUAAAACUCUGUUAUUAGGGAAGAACAAAUGUGUAAGUAACUAUGCACGUCUUGACGGUACCUAAUCAGAAAGCCACGGCUAACUACGUG